rnacentral:rRNA from 1 species
GACGAACGCUGGCGGCGUGCUUAACACAUGCAAGUCGAACGGAAAGGCCCUGCUUUUGUGGGGUGCUCGAGUGGCGAACGGGUGAGUAACACGUGAGUAACCUGCCCUUGACUUUGGGAUAACUACAGGAAACUGGGGCUAAUACCGGAUAGGAGCGCCUGCUGCAUGGUGGGGGUUGGAAAGUUUCGGCGGUUGGGGAUGGACUCGCGGCUUAUCAGCUUGUUGGUGGGGUAGUGGCUUACCAAGGCUUUGCCGGGUAGCCGGCCUGAGAGGGUGGCCGGCCACAAUGGGACUGAGAUACGGCCCAGACUCCUACGGGAGGCAGCAGGGGGGAAUAUUGCACAAUGGGCGGAAGCCUGAUGCAGCGACGCCGCGUGCGGGAUGACGGCCUUCGGGUUGUAAACCGCUUUCACCUGUGACGAAGCGUGAUUGACGGUAAUGGGUAAAGAAGCACCGGCUAACUACGUG